rnacentral:lncRNA from 1 species
GUUUCUUGAUGUAUUACUGUUCCAACAUUUCUUCUUAUAUAACGCUACAAUAUCAUCUAAAGAAUAUUACGUUUUUGGCUCCACAUGUCUUUCCAUGUUACCAAGCUUCAAUUACUGCUCAUAUUGAACGGGCACAAGUUGAAGAGGUAGUUUCUUGAUAAUGGAGAUGUUACCAGCUUCUUCCAUAUCAAUGUCUCCAACUUCCAUCCCAUCAGGCAAUCUCCAAUCGAAAAAAUAAAGCAAAUUCAUCAGUCCAAGCUCCACGGUAGCAAUCCCCAUUUGCAUCGCCGGACACAUCCUUCGACCAGAACCAAACGGUAAGAGCUCAAAGUGUUGUCCUCUAAAAUCAACAGAAGUAUUUGCAAACCGUUCAGGAAUGAAAUCUUCAGGGUCGGUCCAGCGGUUAGGGUCACGUCCGAUCGUCCACACGUUAACUUGGAUUUGCGUUUUCGGUGGAAUAUCGUAGCCUUGGAUCUUGAUGUGAGACAUUGUUUCUCUUGGGAUUAUAAAUGGAAGUGCUGGAUGUAAUCUGAAUGUUUCCUUGAUUAUGAGCUUUAAGUAAUCAACUUUGUCUAGGUCUUCUUCAGUGAUUCUUUCUCUUUUGAGUCCGAGAGUGGUUCGUAUGUUUUCUUGAGCUUUCUUCAUCACUCUAGGGUUUCUAACGAGUUCCGUCAUCGCCCAAAUCAUAGUCACAGAGCUUGUAUCUAUCCCCGCGAGAAAUACAUCCUGAAGAUCACAUAACAAACAUAGAAAAUGUAAUUUAGUAUAGUUGUUAAACUAAUCAAGUGGUUAGAUAUGAGAUGUGAAGGAUAACCACCAUGAGGACUGCCUUGAGAUUAUCCAUAUUGAGCUUAAAAGAAUCUGCAUUUCCUUGUUUAUCGAUCAUAUCCAACAUCAAGGAAACAAUAUCCGGAUUUUUCCUUCCUUCCGGCUUCAAGUGAUCAUCAAUCACAUGCUGGUAAAAAGCGUCAAGCUCUUCAAAGACUUUGUUGAUCUUCUUGUGUCGUUGAAACAACCAAUCUACAAAUCUUCCAAGUCCACCAGGGAAAAAGUCUGAGAAAGUGAAAGUCCCUAGAGCUUCCGCUGAUUCGGUAACAAGUUCUUCGAUCCUUUCCUGAUCAAUAACGAAGCCACUCUCGUGGAAGUUCUGUCCAAAAGCUACUCUACAAAUAAUGCUUGCCGUGAGGGAAAAAAAGGUUUUGCUCAAAUCCACCGGAGAUUGUUUCAAAGCCGAUUCCGACACAUUCUUCACCACAAAUUCGACCUCUUCCUCUCUAAUAUACCGAAAAGAUUGAACCUUUUUAAGGCUAAAAAGCUCGAUAACGGCUAGUUUUCUCAUUUCCCGCCAAUAAGCACCGUAUGGCGAGAAAGUGAUGUCUUUGAAACCGUAAGAGAGUUUGCCGGUCCCGACGGUCUUUGGUCGGCUGCAACAUUCCAAGUCAUGGGUUCUGAGAACUGCUUCAGCUGCUUCGCUCGAUGAGACCACAACCACUGGAACAAACCCGAGACGAAGAAGUACGACGGGUCCGUAUCUGAUUGAGAGCUUGUGAAAGCAUCUGUGAGGCAAUCCUGCAAGAUGAUGCAAGUUUCCGAUGAUCGGAAGACUCCAAGGGCUCGGAGGAAGAUUGAGUUUUGAGUUUUUAAUCUUCCUAAGAAAGAUUGAUGAUACAAAAAUUAGAAGCAAAACCAAGAAGAAACAGAGCAAGAUCGCCAUUUUCUUUCUUCACUUCCUCUGUUUUUUCUUUCUUGUUCUGUUUAAGCUCUGUUUCUUGGAGAGAUGUGUUUACAAUUCCGAAGAGUCUUGUAUAUAAGGUUAAAGGACUAGUUGACCUUAUCGGUACGUUAACUCCCCCAAAAGAAAUCAAAAGGUUGAAAAUUGUAACAAAGUUGCUAGAUUUGUGGAGAUUAUCUUCUUUGGAGUCAUGAAUGUGACAAAAGCAUCAAUCAGGUCUUGUGGUCCAGCUCAGUCACGUGUUCUGUUAGACAUUGUUUUUGGUUAAUUGGAUGACAUGUCACGGAUUGAUUGGAUCUUUGAAGACGAGUCAAGGCUUCUUCUCUUGUUAAUAGGGACGCGUUCGAUUAGAAUAUUCGAAUCAUUUACUACAUAACUACAUAUCGACCAUCGACACUCCUCCACGUCGACUGGUGUGCAAGUCUCCAUUCGUUUUUUUUUUUUAACACCAUUCGUUUUAUUAUAAAUUUGUAUAUGAUGUUUUUGUUAAACACGCAUAGAUUAAAAAACUGUAAAUAAUUGAGCCAUAGCCUAUAGGCCAUUUAUAUAAUCAAUGCUAAAAAUAAUAGCAACAAAUAAAAAUAAUAGCAACAAAUGAAAAUACAACACACCAAAUAGUAUGAAACAAGAAAAAUUUAGAAAAACAAUUUAUAAUAUAAAACGGAAAGAGUACAUAAUUGUAGUUGGCUUUUAGAAUAAUAAGGUGAUGAAUGCUAUACUUUGCUAUUUAAAUACUAUGAUAUAUAUUCCAUCAGUUUACAAAUCAAAUGAUUUACGAUUAGUCACCUAAAUCUUAUUAAUAUUUAGUUUAUAACAUUUGGGAUUAUAGUUUUAUAACUUUAAAGAUGAAAAUUAAUCUACAUUGUGAAGAGGAAAAAAUAAAUAACUACAAUCCCACUAUCCCAGUGUUACUAAACAUUAAAAUUGGUAUAUUCUACAAUGUUAAGAGUGUGCACAAAAUGGAACUAGCUAAAUAUGAUAAUAGAAAUAGAACUUUUUUUGGUCCAAUAGAAAUGGAACUAAAAAAGAAUAUUAUAUACAUAUACAUAUAUUAACUGAAUUCAUUUGGUGUCGUUUUGAAUUUGAAACCUGUGUAGCUUAUCAAACUUUAUUACUUUUUGAUAAUUUGUUUAACAUGCAAUAAUAACUUAGCUGAGAAAUACCCUAAAAUAGGUAUUCUGAAGUAUUAUAGGUUUUCUGCUCGUGCUUUAUUCACCUUAUGGAGUUUUUUUAUAAACUGCUCAUCAAUGGCUUUGAAGGGGCACAAGUUGAAGAGGUAGUUUCUUGACAAUGGUGAGAGUACCAGCUUCUUCCAUAUCAAUGUCUCCAACUUCCAUCCCAUCAGGCAAUCUCCAAUCGAAAAAAUAAAGCAAAUUCAUCAGUCCAAGCUCCACGGUAGCAAUCCCCAUUUGCAUCGCCGGACACAUCCUUC